ACCAAUAUGGCAUAGUGGUUUGAGUUUUGGACUAUGACUCUAGAGACUAGGGUUCGAUUCCCACUUGGCC
rnacentral:tRNA from 1 species